ACUUAGGAAUCUACCUAGUAGUGGGGGAUAGCUCGGGGAAACUCGAAUUAAUACCGCAUACGACCUACGGGAGAAAGGGGGCAGUUUACUGCUCUCGCUAUUAGAUGAGCCUAAGUCGGAUUAGCUAGAUGGUGGGGUAAAGGCCUACCAUGGCGACGAUCUGUAGCUGGUCUGAGAGGAUGAUCAGCCACACCGGGACUGAGACACGGCCCGGACUCCUACGGGAGGCAGCAGUGGGGAAUAUUGGACAAUGGGGGAAACCCUGAUCCAGCCAUGCCGCGUGUGUGAAGAAGGCCUUUUGGUUGUAAAGCACUUUAAGCAGUGAAGAAGACUCCGUGGUUAAUACCCACGGACGAUGACAUUAGCUGCAGAAUAAGCACCGGCUAACUCUGUGCCAGCAGCCGCGGUAAUACAGAGGGUGCAAGCGUUAAUCGGAAUUACUGGGCGUAAAGGGAGCGUAGGUGGCUCGAUAAGUCAGAUGUGAAAUCCCCGGGCUCAACCUGGGAACUGCAUCUGAUACUGUUGAGCUAGAGUAUGUGAGAGGAAGGUAGAAUUCCAGGUGUAGCGGUGAAAUGCGUAGAGAUCUGGAGGAAUACCGAUGGCGAAGGCAGCCUUCUGGCAUAAUACUGACACUGAGGCUCGAAAGCGUGGGUAGCAAACAGGAUUAGAUACCCUGGUAGUCCACGCCGUAAACGAUGUCUACUAGUCGUUGGGUCCCUUGAGGACUUAGUGACGCAGCUAACGCAAUAAGUAGACCGCCUGGGGAGUACGGCCGCAAGGUUAAAACUCAAAUGAAUUGACGGGGGCCCGCACAAGCGGUGGAGCAUGUGGUUUAAUUCGAUGCAACGCGAAGAACCUUACCUGGUCUUGACAUAUCUAGA
rnacentral:rRNA from 1 species